rnacentral:rRNA from 1 species
CCUACGUGAUGCAGCAGUAGGGAAUCUUCCACAAUGUGCGAAAGCCUGAUGGAGCAACGCCGCGUGGGUGAAGAAGGUCUUCGGAUCGUAAAACCCUGUUGUUAGAGAAGAAAGUGCGUGAGAGUAACUGUUCACGUUUCGACGGUAUCUAACCAGAAAGCCACGGCUAACUACGUGCCAGCAGCAGCGGUAAUACGUAGGUGGCAAGCGUUAUCCGGAUGUAUUGGGCGUAAAGGGAACGCAGGCGGGCUUUUAAGUCUGAUGUGAAAGCCUUCGGCUUAACCGGAGUAGUGCAUUGGAAACUGGGAGACUUGAGUGCAGAAGAGGAGAGGGGAACUCCAUGGGUAGCGGUGAAAUGCGUAGAUAUAUGGAAGAACACCAGUGGCGAAAGCGGCUCUCUGGUCUGUAACUGACGCUGAGGUUCGAAAGCGUGGGUAGCAAACAGGAUUAGAUACCCGGGUAGUC